rnacentral:lncRNA from 1 species
UAUUUUUGAGAGAAUAGAGAGAGAAAGUGGGAGCAAGAGGAGAAAAGGGUAGAGAGAAGAGGACUUGAAGAAUCAAGGGUUGGGAGAAGAGCUAGGAGCGAAAUUGAAGCCUAAGCUAGAGAGAUUAACCUAACUAAGACGUUGUGCAGGGUUAGUUGCUCGGUGAGUUUUUGUGCUUGGUGGAUAUCGGGAGCUUUCUCCGAUAUCGGUGUUUAGAGUCUAGGUGGCUCUGAUCUAGGCGUUGUCAUAGUCUAGAAUGUUUAUUUGGAUUAUUAUUCAUGAUUGGAGAUGUACCCGUAUGUUGGGAAUUUUGAGAUUCAUCUAUGUUGAUGUAAUAAUUGGUUUAUGACAUGUAUAUUUGGAAUACUCUGGUUUAUAUUCCGCUGCGACUGUUGAAGUUUAUAUACAUGUUUAUUGGUUUUGAAUUUUGCAUGAUGAUGUAUCCUCUAUUUCUUGAAUAAAUGUGUUAU